CCAAUAGCGUAUAUUAAAGUUGUUGCAGUUAAAAAGCUCGUAGUUGAAUUUCGAGACCGGCUUACUGGUCGUGCUAUUGUGCGUACUGGUAUAAUCGGUUUCUCCUUUCUGACGAACUAUAAUGCCAUUAAUUUGGUGUUAUAGGGAAUCAGGACUGUUACUUUGAAAAAAUUAGAGGGUUUAAAGCAGGCUCACGCUUGAAUACAUUAGCAUGGAAUAACGGAAUGGGACGUUUGAUUCUAUUUUGUUGGUUUCUAGGAUCGACGUAAUGAUUAAUAGGGAUAGUUGGGGGCAUUAGUAUUCAAUUGUCAGAGGUGAAAUUCUUGGAUUUAUUGAAGACUAACUACUGCGAAAGCAUUUGCCAAGGAUGUUUUCAUUAAUCAAGAACGAAAGUUAGGGGAUCGAAGACGAUCAGAUACCGUCGUAGUCUUAACCAUAAACUAUGCCGACUAGGGAUCGGAUGAUGUUAAUUUUUUAAUGACUCAUUCGGCGCCUUACG
rnacentral:rRNA from 1 species